rnacentral:snRNA from 1 species
GUGCUCACUUUGGCAGCACAUAUACUAAAAAUCGGAACUAUACAGAGAAGAUUAGUAUGGCCCCUGCACAAGGAUGACACACAUUCAUGAAGCAUUUCAUAUUUUU